GCCUGUGUACGAGGUUGUAUAUGUGAGUUUUUAAAGUGGGACACUAGGACAGUUCAUCACAUGGCGGUGAAUGCUGAAAGGAAAGAUUGUUAACACAGUGUAACUAAAUUGUUCACUAUAUGUAUUGAUCUUAUGUUUGGUGACAAAUACAUGUACUGGAAACAUUUAGCGUCAUUUGUUUACUCUCAUAAUUGUCAAUACACUUGAAAUUGACCGCCAUGCAUGUGUAGCAUAAAAUACUUGACUGAAAC